GAUGAACGCUGGCGGCGUGCCUAAUACAUGCAAGUCGAGCGAACGGACGAGAAGCUUGCUUCUCUGAUGUUAGCGGCGGACGGGUGAGUAACACGUGGAUAACCUACCUAUAAGACUGGGAUAACUUCGGGAAACCGGAGCUAAUACCGGAUAAUAUUUUGAACCGCAUGGUUCAAAAGUGAAAGACGGUCUUGCUGUCACUUAUAGAUGGAUCCGCGCUGCAUUAGCUAGUUGGUAAGGUAACGGCUUACCAAGGCAACGAUGCAUAGCCGACCUGAGAGGGUGAUCGGCCACACUGGAACUGAGACACGGUCCAGACUCCUACGGGAGGCAGCAGUAGGGAAUCUUCCGCAAUGGGCGAAAGCCUGACGGAGCAACGCCGCGUGAGUGAUGAAGGUCUUCGGAUCGUAAAACUCUGUUAUUAGGGAAGAACAUAUGUGUAAGUAACUGUGCACAUCUUGACGGUACCUAAUCAGAAAGCCACGGCUAACUACGUGCCAGCAGCCGCGGUAAUACGUAGGUGGCAAGCGUUAUCCGGAAUUAUUGGGCGUAAAGCGCGCGUAGGCGGUUUUUUAAGUCUGAUGUGAAAGCCCACGGCUCAACCGUGGAGGGUCAUUGGAAACUGGAAAACUUGAGUGCAGAAGAGGAAAGUGGAAUUCCAUGUGUAGCGGUGAAAUGCGCAGAGAUAUGGAGGAACACCAGUGGCGAAGGCGACUUUCUGGUCUGCAACUGACGCUGAUGUGCGAAAGCGUGGGGAUCAAACAGGAUUAGAUACCCUGGUAGUCCACGCCGUAAACGAUGAGUGCUAAGUGUUAGGGGGUUUCCGCCCCUUAGUGCUGCAGCUAACGCAUUAAGCACUCCGCCUGGGGAGUACGACCGCAAGGUUGAAACUCAAAGGAAUUGACGGGGACCCGCACAAGCGGUGGAGCAUGUGGUUUAAUUCGAAGCAACGCGAAGAACCUUACCAAAUCUUGACAUCCUUUGACAACUCUAGAGAUAGAGCCUUCCUCUUCGGGGGACAAAGUGACAGGUGGUGCAUGGUUGUCGUCAGCUCGUGUCGUGAGAUGUUGGGUUAAGUCCCGCAACGAGCGCAACCCUUAAGCUUAGUUGCCAUCAUUAAGUUGGGCACUCUAAGUUGACUGCCGGUGACAAACCGGAGGAAGGUGGGGAUGACGUCAAAUCAUCAUGCCCCUUAUGAUUUGGGCUACACACGUGCUACAAUGGACAAUACAAAGGGCAGCGAAACCGCGAGGUCAAGCAAAUCCCAUAAAGUUGUUCUCAGUUCGGAUUGUAGUCUGCAACUCGACUACAUGAAGCUGGAAUCGCUAGUAAUCGUAGAUCAGCAUGCUACGGUGAAUACGUUCCCGGGUCU
rnacentral:rRNA from 1 species